rnacentral:tRNA from 1 species
GGAGGGGUGGCCGAGUGGCUUAAGGCGCACGAUUGGAAAUCGUGUGGACGUGUGAGCGUCUCGCGGGUUCGAAUCCCGCCUCCUCCGCCA